AUUCCCUUCUCAAAAGUAAAAUGCUCAUCUUGGUAAUUUAUCACCACUUAUAUAAUCUGCUUUAAAUUUCUCUCAUAUUAACUCUUAUGUCUGGUCCUUGCAGCUGGAACAUUCCUUGCUGGGGUAUAUGGCUGGCGUGUAUCAAUUUUUAUUGUUGAUAUUGAUAUUUCUAUUUUUUUAAAAAGUGAAAUUGAACUUUAAGAAUCAGAAAAGAAUGAAAUCUAGUAUAAAUUUCAAUAAAUAAGUGUUAGGUGAUAGUCAAACUUGGGAUGACUUUGUUUCUUGAUUGGGAUUUCAUGUGAUUGCAUACCUUUCAGUUUUAUAUUAAUGUAUUCUAAUCAUCCUUAGCUUAUUCUGGAUUUAUUUUGGGAGGAUGCGCGGAAGAUUGGAGGAGAUAGAAAAGGAUUACCUUGGAAAUACGGAGGAAGUGGGGAAGUCCAAGUGAUUAGUUCUAAUAACAUUUCUCAGCCUCUCUGUCUUGAUAAGAAAUGUAGACGUGAUUUGUACUUUUAAUUAAUGUGAAUUUAUGAUGUUGUUGGUACUUUUAAUGUAAUAUUACUUUAAUUGA